CAGGGCUUUAUCCUCUCAUCACAGUUUAUAUUCUCUGGUUCUCACAUCAGUCAAACUGAUUUAUUACUGAAUGUUUCAUCUGAUAACCAAGAUUAUGUCAUGUUGUUUUGCUUGGGGAUGUCUCAGUUUUUAAGAACCUAAUUAUCUUACAGCUACGGUGGCCCUGAAGGUUCACUACCAAAAUAUUUCACUAACUCCAAAAUAUUGGAUAUCAUCAAUCAUCUUAUUUCUCAGAGCCACUGAAGUUCAGCUCAGCUGCCAUCACUCAUGGACGGUCCCACCUGCAGAUAAUCACCGAUAAUCAAGACCUCCUCACCUGGUGCUGAACCUUCAGACACCUGUGGACUACAGCUUCUAUGUCUCCGUCUCUCUGCCAGUGCUAUUUCCAACCAGCAGCCAGGACACUCAGCAUCAUUUCCACCAGUGUUGUCAAAUAAACUUCUUUAACUUCA